AUUGAACGCUGGCGGCAGGCCUAACACAUGCAAGUCGAGCGGGGUUUUCGGACCUAGCGGCGGACGGGUGAGUAAUGCGUAGGAAGCUACCCGAUAGAGGGGGAUACCAGUUGGAAACGACUGUUAAUACCGCAUAAUGUCUACGGACCAAAGUGUGGGACCUUCGGGCCACAUGCUAUCGGAUGCGCCUACGUGGGAUUAGCUAGUUGGUGAGGUAAUGGCUCACCAAGGCGACGAUCCCUAGCUGGUUUGAGAGGAUGAUCAGCCACACUGGAACUGAGACACGGCCCAGACUCCGACGGGAGGCAGCAGUGGGGAAUAUUGGACAAUGGGCGCAAGCCUGAUCCAGCCAUGCCGCGUGUGUGAAGAAGGCCUUCGGGUUGUAAAGCACUUUCAGUAGGGAGGAAGCGUUGUGUGUUAAUAGUACACAGCGUUGACGUUACCUACAGAAGAAGCACCGGCUAACUCUGUGCCAGCAGCCGCAGUAAAAC
rnacentral:rRNA from 1 species